GCGGNGGAAAAGAAACCAACCGGGAUUGCCUCAGUAACGGCGAGUGAAGCGGCAAGAGCUCAAAUUUGAAAGCUGGCUCCUUCGGGGUCCGCAUUGUAAUUUGCAGAGGAUGCUUCGGGUGCAGCCCCCGUCUAAGUGCCCUGGAACGGGCCGUCAUAGAGGGUGAGAAUCCCGUAUGGGGCGGGGUGUCUGCGUCCGUGUGAAGCUCCUUCGACGAGUCGAGUUGUUUGGGAAUGCAGCUCUAAAUGGGUGGUAAAUUUCAUCUAAAGCUAAAUACUGGCCGGAGACCGAUAGCGCACAAGUAGAGUGAUCGAAAGAUGAAAAGCACUUUGAAAAGAGAGUUAAACAGCACGUGAAAUUGUUGAAAGGGAAGCGCUUGCAACCAGACUCGCUCGCGGGGUUCAGCCGGGCUUCGGCCCGGUGUACUUCCCCGCGGGCGGGCCAGCGUCGGUUUGGGCGGCCGGUCAAAGGCCUCCGGAAUGUAGCGCCCUUCGGGGCGCCUUAUAGCCGGGGGUGCAAUGCGGCCAGCCUGGACCGAGGAACGCGCUUCGGCACGGACGCUGGCAUAAUGGUUGUAAACGACCCGUCUUGAAACACGGACCAAGGAGUCUAACAUCUACGCGAGUGUUCGGGUGUCAAACCCGUACGCGCAGUGAAAGCGAACGGAGGUGGGAGCCCCCUCGCGGGGCGCACCAUCGACCGAUCCUGAUGUCUUCGGAUGGAUUUGAGUACGAGCGUAGCUGUGGGGACCCGAAAGAUGGUGAACUAUGCCUGAAUAGGGCGAAGCCAGAGGAAACUCUGGUGGAGGCUCGCAGCGGUUCUGACGUGCAAAUCGAUCGUCAAAUUUGGGUAUAGGGGCGAAAGACUAAUCGAACCAUCUGGUAGC
rnacentral:rRNA from 1 species